ACGUAGGGUGCAAGCGUUAUUCGGAAUUAUUGGGCGUAAAGAGUGCGUAGGUGGUUUUGUAAGAGUGAUGUGAAAUCCCAGAGCUUAACUAUUGUACUCCUUUCGAACUGGAAGACUUGAGUGUAGGAGAGGAAAGUGGAAUUCCUAGUGUAGCGGUGAAAUGCGUAGAUAUUAGGAGGAACACCAGUGGCGAAGGCGACUUUCUGGAAUGUAACUGACACUGAGGCACGAAAGCGUGGGGAGCAAACAG
rnacentral:rRNA from 1 species